rnacentral:rRNA from 1 species
AGGACGAACGCUGGCGGCGUGCUUAACACAUGCAAGUCGAACGGAAAGGCCCUUUCGGGGGUACUCGAGUGGCGAACGGGUGAGUAACACGUGGGUGAUCUGCCCUGCACUUUGGGAUAAGCCUGGGAAACUGGGUCUAAUACCGAAUACACCUUGCUGGCUGCAUGGCCUGGUGGGGGAAAGCUUUUGCGGUGUGGGAUGGGCCCGCGGCCUAUCAGCUUGUUGGUGGGGUGAUGGCCUACCAAGGCGACGACGGGUAGCCGGCCUGAGAGGGUGUCCGGCCACACUGGGACUGAGAUACGGCCCAGACUCCUACGGGAGGCAGCAGUGGGGAAUAUUGCACAAUGGGCGCAAGCCUGAUGCAGCGACGCCACGUGAGGGAUGACGGCCUUCGGGUUGUAAACCGUCUUUCAGUAUCGACGAAGCGCAAGUGACGGUAGGUACAGAAGAAGCACCGGCCAACUACGCACCAGCAGCCGCGGU